CCUACGGGCGGCUGCAGUGGGGAAUAUUGCACAAUGGGCGUAAGCCUGAUGCAGCCAUGCCGCGUGUGUGAAGAAGGCCUUCGGGUUGUAAAGCACUUUCAGCGGGGAGGAAGGCGUUAAGGUUAAUAACCUUGUCGAUUGACGUUACCCGCAGAAGAAGCACCGGCUAACUCCGUGCCAGCAGCCGCGGUAAUACGGAGGGUGCAAGCGUUAAUCGGAAUUACUGGGCGUAAAGCGCACGCAGGCGGUCUGUCAAGUCGGAUGUGAAAUCCCCGGGCUCAACCUGGGAACUGCAUUCGAAACUGGCAGGCUAGAGUCUUGUAGAGGGGGGUAGAAUUCCAGGUGUAGCGGUGAAAUGCGUAGAGAUCUGGAGGAAUACCGGUGGCGAAGGCGGCCCCCUGGACAAAGACUGACGCUCAGGUGCGAAAGCGUGGGGAGCAAACAGGAUUAGAUACCCGGGUAGUC
rnacentral:rRNA from 1 species